AUUAAGUGAAUAGGUGUACAAGGAAAACCUAUGUUAUAUGUGCCUUCAAUGAAGGGAAGCUGCUGCUGGUCCUGCUCCUCCUCGAAGUAAAACGGAUCUCCCACGGUCACGUCACCGUCUGCGCUCGAUCGGCACCACACAACAACACGCAUCCAGGUUCAAUCAUACAAGAAAACAAUCCUUUAAUUAGAACAGUACAUCAACAUAUCAAAAACAAAAUAAAAUAUUUAAAAACAAAAUCUAUGUUUCGCUAUGAAC
rnacentral:lncRNA from 1 species